UCGAGGAUCAUUCGCAAUGCGCGAAAGCGUGACGGUGCGACGCCGCGUGCAGGAUGAAGGCCUUCGGGUCGUAAACUGCUGUCAUGAGGGAGCAAUAGGCCUGGUGAUAACACCAUCGGGACUUGAUAGUACCUCAGGAGGAAGCCACGGCUAACUCUGUGCCAGCAGCCGCGGUAAUACAGAGGCGGCAAGCGUUGUUCGGAUUUACUGGGCGUAAAGGGUGCGUAGGCGGUCUUGCAUGUCGGUUGUGAAAUCUCACGGCUUAACCGUGGAACUGCAUCCGAAACUGCAGGGCUGGAGUACCGGAGAGGAGAGCGGAAUUCUCGGUGUAGCGGUGAAAUGCGUAGAUAUCGAGAGGAACACCGGUGGCGAAGGCGGCUCUCUGGACGGAUACUGACGCUGAGGCACGAAAGCUGGGGGAGCAAACAG
rnacentral:rRNA from 1 species